rnacentral:rRNA from 1 species
GACGAACGCUGGCGGCGUGCUUAACACAUGCAAGUCGAGCGGAAGGGCCUGCUUUCCCUUGUGGAUUGCGGGUACUCGAGUGGCGAACGGGUGAGUAACACGUGAGUGAUCUGCCCCCAACUUGGGUAUAAGCCUGGGAAACUGGGUCUAAUUCCCGAUAGGACUGCAGGGUGGUGCCUGUGGUGGAAAACGAUUUUCUAGUGGUUGGGGAUGAGCUCGCGGCCUAUCAGCUUGUUGGUGGGGUAAUGGCCUACCAAGGCGGCGACGGGUAGCCGGCCUGAGAGGGUGGACGGCCACAUUGGGACUGAGAUACGGCCCAGACUCCUACGGGAGGCAGCAGUGGGGAAUAUUGCACAAUGGGCGGAAGCCUGAUGCAGCGACGCCGCGUGGGGGAUGACGGCCUUCGGGUUGUAAACUCCUUUCGACCGCGAGGAAGCCACCUGGUUGGAAGGGUGGUGACGGUAGUGGUAGAAGAAGCACCGGCUAACUACGUG